rnacentral:tRNA from 1 species
UCCCUGGUAGCUCAGUUGGUAAAGAAUCUGCCUGCAAUGCAGAAGACCCCAGUUCAAUUUCUGGGUCAGGAAG